rnacentral:rRNA from 1 species
AGAGUUGAUCAUGGCUCAGAACGAACGCUGGUGGCGUGUCUUAUACAUGCAAGUCGAGCGAGGCAGCAAUGCCGAGCGGCGAACGGGUGAGUAACGCGUAAGCAAUCUGCCCCAUAUCAGGAAAUACCCGUGCCAACGCGCGGUUAAUGUCCAGGAGAGUGGCUCCUUGCAUGAGGAGUUGACUAGAGAUUUAUCGGUAUGGGAUGAGCUUGCGUCCGAUUAGCUAGUUGGCGGGGCAACGGCCCACCAAGGCGACGAUCGGUAGCUGGCCUGAGAGGGUGAUCGGCCACAUUGGGACUGAGAUACGGCCCAGACUCCUACGGGAGGCAGCAGUAGGGAAUAUUGCACAAUGGGGGAAACCCUGAUGCAGCAACGCCACGUGUGGGAAGAAGCAUUUCGGUGUGUAAACCACUGUCAUGAGGGAAUAAGGCCCUUAUUCGUAAGGGACUUGAAUGUACCUUGAGAGGAAGCACCGGCAAACUUCGUGCCAGCAGCCGC